AGGGUAGAUAAGGAACCACACGAGAGAAUCCUAACAUCUCACAGUACACAUGUUAAGCCUGCAUGGUUUAAACUCAUCAUAAAACGCAACACAAAUGAAUGCAAGAUUAAAAUUUGGCCAAUUUUGCAUCAACUUUAAAAUGUUUUUGCGUCAACACUGAUGUUUUGAUUGCUUUGUCGAAUGUAAAACUAGCUUAAUUAAUACAUAUCUGUAGUUAUUUCACAGAUGACCAUGCAUCUUAUAUAAAAAUGUAUCUUACUAUAAAACGUGACAAAAUGUUGACCUUUAACGUGACAAAAUGUUGACCUUUAUAAUAAGACAUUACAACCAAUUCCUACUUAUUACAAAAAGGGAAUCUGAAGGUUAGAGAACAAUAAAUAAAACACUACCAAGUAAGUAAUUACUUUAUUAAUGUUAGUAUUGGCUGCAUGUAAAAAUUAGUAAUUAAUUAAUUCAAAAAUAAACAUAACACUGGUAGAUAUAUAUAAUACAUAAAUACUUUAAAAUAAUAAAGCCUUAUAUAUAAAGGCAAGGAUUUGACUGUGUAUAAGCCAAUAAUGAAGGUUGCUGUUCUUUUUGUUAUUAGCUGCUUCAUUGCUGCUGCUUAUAGCAACAGCAUAAGUAUCAGAGGAAUUCAGGAAGGGAAAAUGGUUGCUGAUGGCACUGAAAAAGUAUGUAGAUGUACAAAAGAUGAAUGUACAUUAAGCUCUGGAAUCUAUAAAUGCUUUGGAGAAGAUGUAUGUCGCUGUAAUUCUGGAACUACUGACUACUGUGAAUGCACCGAGAGAUACUGUGCAGAAAUUGGAGACACCCUGUCCUGUGUAUCAAAUAAAGGAGCUUGUAAAUGCACUGCAUAACAAGCCACUGGGAAGCAACUGAAAAUGGACACUAAUACAUGUACAUGUACAUUAUUACUAAUAUAUUUCAAAUCUUGGCUAUACAUUUCAGUAAAUGGUAGUGUAGUCCAAUGUCAAUAAUAAA